rnacentral:lncRNA from 1 species
GAGGUCCUAUUUUGUGUUAAGAUUAUUAUCCUUGUGUGCCAUCUGCCAUCACUGCAUUUUGAACUUCUCUCGGUUACUUGCAAUCAUCUGAUUCAAAGCGGAGGUGCUGCAGCUUUGCUCAAGGCAGAAAGAAUGGCCGCUGUUCCGUUUACUUUCGCUAUUGUUACGCUAGAAGAACAUGCUGAUGGAUUGGUUGUAAUCAGGUCAAAUUGGAUUUCCAAAGAGAGGCCCAACUACUGUUUUUAUCCAACUAAGGUCAAAGACAUGACAAAAUAUUUGCAGAGGCGUGAAAACGUCAAACCCAGCGAAGAUUGGACUGCUGAAAAAAUUCGCCUCUUCCAAGACAACAUACCAACCUACAAGGAAGCAUUCACCAGAAUGUUAUACUUCACGGAGCACUCAGGAGAAUCACAGUCUUCAGAAGCAGAAACGACAGAAAGACGGAAGCGGACGAUCACUCUGCCUGCCAGAUAUGAUUUAAGUGACGAAGAAAAUUCCCAACCAACAAGGAAGCAACCGAAGAAGCCGUCACAAAAGAAAGGCAGCAGCAAUCAAACAAUUUUAGCACCUGCGGGUACAGCACUGCCCCCAUUCCCGGAACCACCUCGUAACCCCCUAACGGAUAGAGUCAUCGACACGAAUUACAUGAGAGAAUUUUUAUUGACACCAGAAGAAAUGAGAGACAGUUUUGAGUCUUUAGAGGACCAGGACUCUCAAGAUAUUGCCACAUACUUAGCUAGCGGAGAGGCCCAAAGCAAUUCUUAUAAUGACCUUCAUGUGAGAAAUGAAGAGGAGGCGCAGUCCGAUGUUGAUGUACAAUUCUCUAGAUUAGAUGCAGUAAUACCUCUUACUCCGCCACGGCAAGUAGAGAGUUUGCAACUGCAAGUGGAGAAUACUGUACCCUCAAAUUCCCAACAGCAAGCAGAAAAUGAUCCACCUGGCGAGGAGCUGGAAGAGCUGCGAAAUUUAACGACACAGGAGCUCCUGUUAAAACUUCAUGGAGAGAUAAAAUCCGGAUUUCAUACCUUGGGGAACAGAUUAAGCAAUCUUGAGAAGGAUGUUGCGUACCUCAAAGCGACGGCAAAAUCAGGCGGGCUGAUUGGGCAAAGCGCCAACAAAGCUCCGAUAAUUAGUCUCGCUAAUUUAUACCCUGCAGGCCUCCCGUGCAAGUCCUCUGUGGAGGUUGAGGCUCUUGAGACUUUCUUGAAUGAAAAUGUAGACACCAGGAAGAAGUUUUUCCAGGGUCUGUUGCAGCUGGGAGGGGCAAAGCCCGGAGAUAUCAUCAGAGAAGUACUGAGAACCCUCUUGAGUAAUCAAGCAGCCAAGGAAUAUAGCUACCUAGGGGAGGGAUCGAACAACAAGACAUUUCAAACUCUGCUGAUACACGACAUGGCCCUGCAUGUUGUACGAGCAAACGCCCAGUUUCACGAUUAUACAGCCAGUGCAUUCAAGGAAGUUGUAGAAAACUGGCUGAGAAAUGCGAACAAAAGGCUACUUGCUGAAAAAAAGAAGAAAGUCCCUCAAGGACCUCAAAGAGUGCUAGAUUUUGUUUAG